rnacentral:rRNA from 1 species
AGAGUUUGAUCCUGGCUCAGGAUGAACGCUGGCGGCGUGCCUAACACAUGCAAGUCGAGCGAUCUUCUUCGGAAGAGAGCGGCGGACGGGUGAGUAACGCGUGGGUAACCUGCCUCAUACACGUGGAUAACAUACCGAAAGGUAUGCUAAUACAAGAUGAUAUAAGAGAUUCGCAUGGAUUUCUUAUCAAAGCUCCGGCGGUAUGAGAUGGACCCGCGUCUGAUUAGCUAGUUGGUAAGGUAACGGCUUACCAAGGCGACGAUCAGUAGCCGACCUGAGAGGGUGAUCGGCCACAUUGGAACUGAGACACGGUCCAAACUCCUACGGGAGGCAGCAGUGGGGAAUAUUGCACAAUGGGCGAAAGCCUGAUGCAGCAACGCCGCGUGAGCGAUGAAGGCCUUCGGGUCGUAAAGCUCUGUCCUCAAGGAAGAUAAUGACGGUACUUGAGGAGGAAGCCCCGGCUAACUACGUGCCAGCAGCCGCGGUAAUACGUAGGGGGCUAGCGUUAUCCGGAUUUACUGGGCGUAAAGGGUGCGUAGGUGGUUUCUUAAGUCAGGAGUGAAAGGCUACGGCUCAACCGUAGUAAGCUCUUGAAACUGGGAAACUUGAGUGCAGGAGAGGAAAGUGGAAUUCCUAGUGUAGCGGUGAAAUGCGUAGAUAUUAGGAGGAACACCAGUAGCGAAGGCGGCUUUCUGGACUGUAACUGACACUGAGGCACGAAAGCGUGGGGAGCAAACAGGAUUAGAUACCCUGGUAGUCCACGCCGUAAACGAUGAGUACUAUGUGUCGGGGGUUACCCCCCUCGGUGCCGCAGCUAACGCAUUAAGUACUCCGCCUGGGGAGUACGCUCGCAGGAGUGAAACUCAAAGGAAUUGACGG